AAAUAGUACUUUGCAGAGAGAGUUAACAGGGCGUGAAACCGUUAAUUGGCAAACGAAUCGGAGCCACGAAGUCGUUUCGUUGAGUUGGGCUGAGUUCAGCCUAGAACCUCGGUUCUAGGUGUAUUCUUGGUUCGACCUUUGUAAGCGUACACUGCAACCAGUUAGACGAUUGAGGAUGGGCCCAGUUCAGGCUAGUAGUAGUGCGGUGCAUUUCGGUGCAUUCGUAUUGCUGGGUCUGUGGCAAGUGAGCUAUCCUCAAAUACUGACUGGCAAAAUGAAAAUCGCGAAAGCGUUUUACAAAAAGCUGCUUAGCGCAUAGAUGUCUACGUAGCUGACCAUGGGGUCCUAAGCUCGGCAUUCUUGAAUUUAGGCUUGCUUGCUACCGGUGGGGCAACCCUCGGUGCUUGUAUAGUUUCUAUCUAAUCGGGUGUUGACUUGAUUCUGUGUCGUUCAGUUGCGCUAUGAUAGGAUGCCUAUGCGACUAGGUUUGCAAUUAUUGGCAGUGAGUAGGUCGGCUUUCCGAACGACCCGUCUUGAAACACGGAAGGAGUCUAAUUAGGCAUCAAGUCGAUCGGUCUUGAAUAGGCCAGACUGGAUAUCUUUAUCCGAUUGAAGGCGUAGAGAAAUCGUGUGAUCAUUGGAACAAAACAGUUCUUAUGCGCAACACGUGCCUGCUCGUAUGCAAUGCUUGCUGGGCGGAGCAAAGAGAUGCCUGAUUGGUACCCGAAAGAUGGUGAGCUUGGGCAAAUUGAAGCCAGAGGAAACUCUGGUGGAGGAUUUAGUUCUGACGUGCAAAUCGAUCGUCAGCUGAGUAUAGGGGCGAAAGACUAAUCGAACCAUC
rnacentral:rRNA from 1 species